rnacentral:rRNA from 1 species
GAUGAACGCUGGCGGCGUGCUUAACACAUGCAAGUCGAACGAAGCACUUUAACCUGAUUCUUCGGAUGAAGGUUUUUGUGACUGAGUGGCGGACGGGUGAGUAACGCGUGGGUAACCUGCCUCAUACAGGGGGAUAACAGUUAGAAAUGACUGCUAAUACCGCAUAAGACCACAGAGCCGCAUGGCUCGGUGGGAAAAACUCCGGUGGUAUGAGAUGGACCCGCGUCUGAUUAGGUAGUUGGUGGGGUAACGGCCUACCAAGCCAACGAUCAGUAGCCGACAUGAGAGGGUGACCGGCCACAUUGGGACUGAGACACGGCCCAAACUCCUACGGGAGGCAGCAGUGGGGAAUAUUGCACAAUGGGGGAAACCCUGAUGCAGCGACGCCGCGUGAGCGAAGAAGUAUUUCGGUAUGUAAAGCUCUAUCAGCAGGGAAGAAAAUGACGUUACCUGACUAAGAAGCACCGGCUAAAUACGUG